GUUUGUGUCCAUACCACCCUGAACAUGCCCAGUCUUGUCUGAUCUCAGAAGCUAAGCAGGGUCAGGCCUGGUUAGUACUUGGAUGGGAAAAUUCAAUGCUUUAUUCAGCGACCCACCCC
ensembl:rRNA 5S_rRNA 5S ribosomal RNA